AUAUAUUGCUUAAUUUUUUAUACAGAUGUAGCUGCUCGAAGAGCUGCAGAGCAAAGCCCACUCGAGCAUAACCAGGGAGUUCUAAAGCUAGCUGCAUGACGUGGCAUACAUAUACAUGUAUUUAUAUAUUUGAUUCGCUUAGAAAUUGCAGCGUAUCAGAAUGUAUUAAUCUACUUCUGCUACUUUUGUGCCGUAAUGCUCCGGAAGUUUUGGCAACACCUACUCAAAAAGCAUCGACGAGAACGUGCGAUGGUUGAAGUGUGAGCAGCUUGGGGCCUCUAGCCUCUAUACCCUCAUCCUGUAUGGCUUAUUCUCUUACUUCCUAUUCACAAACACACACACACACACACACACACACACACACACACACACACACACACACACACACACACGACAGAGGGAGUCCCAACUGUGUUUGGCCAUGUCUCUGUGCGGUUGUAACAAAGUUAUAUUGGUUUGCGUGACUAUGAACAAAAGUAAAAUAACAAUUACAACAACUACAACAGCAACAACAACAACAACAGCGACCACAGUGGCCCGCCCACUCCGGCUGGUGGCCACAAGCAAAUAGAAAAACCAAACGAAGCAACCAAAAGCCGAACAACAAGAAAUAGAUGCAGUAGAGGGAGUUAAAGUACAAUAAAAAGAAAGAGAGAGAGAACAAAAAAAUAGAAAACAAAUUGUAAAGUGAAAUUAGUAUUUUAGUUAUCCUGUGCGCAGGCACAGUCAUACAUACAUACACACACAUAGAUACAUGAGGAUGGGGGGAAACCUGAAAAUUUGUUGAGCUUGCGAAGCGGUUGGGGUGGUGGUGGUUCAGGUGUACCAAGUCAGCGGGAAAUGUACUCAAAAAGCGCUUAAGCUAGGCGAGCACACGAAUAUUCUUGUUGUGGCUUUUGGGGCGAGGGCUGCCUGAAAACUUUCACUGCAUAUUGGCAAU